rnacentral:rRNA from 1 species
GUGGGGAAUAUUGGGCAAUGGGCGAAAGCCUGACCCAGCAACGCCGCGUGAAGGAAGAAGGCUUUCGGGUUGUAAACUUCCUUUGUCAGGGACGAAAAAAAUGACGGUACCUGACGAAUAAGCCACGGCUAACUACGUGCCAGCAGCCGCGGUAAUACGUAGGUGGCAAGCGUUAUCCGGAUUUACUGGGUGUAAAGGGCGUGUAGGCGGGAAAGCAAGUCAGAUGUUAAAACUAUGGGCUCAACCCAUAGCCUGCAUUUGAAACUGUUUUUCUUGAGUACUGGAGAGGCAGAUGGAAUUCCUAGUGUAGCGGUGAAAUGCGUAGAUAUUAGGAGGAACACCAGUGGCGAAGGCGAUCUGCUGGACAGCAACUGACGCUGAGGCGCGAAAGCGUGGGGAGCGAACAGGAUUAGAUACCCGUGUAGUCC